GGGCGGGUUAACGGGGUGCCCGGCGAGGCUCGGCGGGUGUGAGUCGCGCCUCUGCAAACUGAGAACUUCCUUUAUGGGAAGGUUGGGUAUUUUUUUUCCACACGUAAGAGCUGUAAAUACAGGUUUGUAACGGCUUUUAAUAACAAUACACAGAGAAGAAGAAUUUUAAAAACCCCGGGAAAUAAAAAUACCAGUCCAGAGAAUCAGGAUUGAACUUCAAGGACCCAAUCUCCUGUUUCUUUUGAAAAGCGUUCUUACACGGUGAAGUAUUUCGAUGGAGAGGUCCUGGCCCAUGCCUGACCGGUGUCAAAGCUAUUUGGCUGGCCUGACAGGUUACCUAGGAAUUCCCUCAGCCCUUUGUUAAAGUAAAGCUGAUGUGGCUGUUUUCUGCCUCCUCCCCUGUGGUUCCCGUUGCGUGAAGUAAACACGGCAUGGCCAGAGGGCAGGUGAGCUUUGACCAGCCCUGGCUGCUGAAGUGGUGUCUGGGCAGUGCUCCGGUGGGUGGAAUUCAAUUUAAGGAAGUUUAAUAACCUUGUGAAUAGUCAACGUGCUGCCCUCGUCCUAGAUGAGGCAAAACCUGUGGUCAGAGCAUGUAGAAAAUGGCAAGUUCCUCAUGAUCCCCACCCCUCGUCCUCCCCAAAUUCAAACUUGGCUCAACAGCUCUAGAGGAUCCCACUGGUAGCAAUAAUUUGGUAAAUAAAAUACAAAAAGAGGGAUUCCUUGUCCAGUAUGUUGGCCUAUGGUGUGAGUGUGUUUGAAAAGCCUGUAUAGCUUGUAUAUUUACACAGAAAGCCAGGCUGAGCUCAGGUAAAUAAUUACUGCUAAAACGCUAUUACUUUCAGUAAAUACAAGCUAAUGUUUGCUGCUCUACACAGUAUUUACUGAGGAAGCCAGAAGAACCAGAACCAAUGUUUGUUCCCUGGGAGGAUUUCAUACCAACUGCCUGAAAUACACCUGUGCAUUGCUUCACGUGCUCUCCCUGUAACUGGUGCUCUGCCGCCUCUUGGUAUAAAGGGAAUGGCAUCACCAGCAGAGAGCACACUGGAACCUCAGAACAAAAGAAAACAGAAAAAUCAAUAGCAUAUUUUAACAAUGCAAGCCUGAAACAAAUAAAAAUACAUCUGAAAUAAAUCA